rnacentral:RNase_P_RNA from 2 species
UCGGGUAAUUCAACUACAGCGCGACCUACUUUUGGUAGGAGUGAGGAAAGUCCGGACUUCAUAGAGCAGGAUGCUGGUUAACGACCAGGCGGGGCGACCCGACGGAAAGUGCAACAGAGAACACACAGCCGAAGCCGCAAGGCUGGCAAUGGUGAAAACGUGAGGUAAGAGCUCACGGACUUGGCUGGUGACAGUCAGUCUGGCAAACCCCAUCCGAAGCAAAGCCAAAUAGGGGUGGAGAGCUGGCUCGGCUCGUUUUACACUCGGGUUGGCUGCAAAGAAUGUUGCGGCAACGUAACGUCAAGAGAAAUUGUAGUUUUAAACAGAAUCCGGCUUAUGGAUUGCCCGUAAUU